rnacentral:lncRNA from 1 species
GUUUUUUCGAGUAUCACAGAGUAAUUAAUAGAUAAUUGGAGACAGACAUCAAUAAUAAUGCAUCACUAGUAUAGUGACCUGCGCGUUACGGCAAGUAGAUACUGUUAAAAUAAAAAAUUAUAAAGAAUAAAAUAUCAGUUUAGUACAAAAAUAAUAAAUAUAGUCUAUAUUAUAGAUAAACACUUUUAAAAACUAAAAUUAUAAUGAAAAAAUUUAAUCGUUUCAAAGAAAACUAUUAAAUCUUAUUCAAAAGAAGUCGCAUAUCAUGCAAAUGAACGAUUAAAAUUAUUUCUAUAACACAAUAAUUAAAGAAAAAAAAUUAGAAAAAAAAA